GAUGAACGCUAGCGGCAGGCCUAAUACAUGCAAGUCGGACGGGAUUCAGGAGCUUGCUUCUGAUGAGAGUGGCGCACGGGUGCGUAACACGUAUGUAACCUACCUUUAUCAGGGGGAUAGCCUCUCGAAAGAGAGAUUAAGCCCGCAUAAAAUCACAGCACAGCAUUGUGUAAUGAUCAAAUAUUUAUAGGAUAAAGAUGGGCAUGCGGAACAUUAGCUAGAUGGCGGGGUAACGGCCCACCAUGGCGACGAUGUUUAGGGGAUCUGAGAGGAUGGCCCCCCACACUGGUACUGAGACACGGACCAGACUCCUACGGGAGGCAGCAGUAAGGAAUAUUGGUCAAUGGGCGGAAGCCUGUACCAGCCAUGCCGCGUGCAGGAAGACGGCCCUACGGGUUGUAAACUGCUUUUAUACGGGAAUAAACCCAGAUACGUGUAUCUGGCUGAAUGUACUGUAAGAAUAAGGAUCGGCUAACUCCGUG
rnacentral:rRNA from 1 species